UACUUAGGAAUCUGCCCAGUAGUGGGGGACAACUCGAGGAAACUCGAGCUAAUACCGCAUACGCCCUACGGGGGAAAGCGGGGGAUCUUCGGACCUCGCGCUAUUGGAUGAGCCUAAGUCGGAUUAGCUUGUUGGUGGGGUAAAGGCCUACCAAGGCGACGAUCCGUAGCUGGUCUGAGAGGACGAUCAGCCACACUGGGACUGAGACACGGCCCAGACUCCUACGGGAGGCAGCAGUGGGGAAUAUUGGACAAUGGGGGCAACCCUGAUCCAGCAAUGCCGCGUGUGUGAAGAAGGCCUUCGGGUUGUAAACCUCUUUC
rnacentral:rRNA from 1 species